UAGCUCAGUUGGGAGAGCGUCAGACUGAAGAUCUGAAGGUCCCUGUUCAAUCCGGAG
rnacentral:tRNA from 1 species